UGUUUAAGUUCGUGAAACUGUGAGUGACAAAACACUGGAUCCUUGUUGCCGAAGUGGUUACUGUGUAAUGUUUAUGAGAUUCUCAUCGGUCUCAAUAUCCACGUGCGAAUUUGUGAUUUAACAUUAAGCGCGGACAAAUAAAAAAAACAAAGCGACAAUAUUGUUCUACCCGCUUGUUCAGAAUUACGCGAGAAAGAUCCUCUGUGAGAGUCUACUACCAGCUUCGUCAACCAACCUCGACAACGAGAGGCACAUCGACGACGUCUCCGCGCGCGCGCGUGCGCGUGCGAGAGAGCGAGAAAAAGAGGGAGACCGAGAACGAAGGAGCCAGUGUUUUUCUUUUUUUUUCAUUUAAAUAUUCGUCUACAUUGUUUAUCAUCACGAAUACAAUGGAAUUCGUUGCGUCGUGAUAUACGCAGCACAGGCGCUCGUCCUAGGUUUCUACAAGCUGUCACAAACAUUUUUGUCAUGGAUCAUUGGCGAUUCCAUGAGAUCAGACAAUCCUCGAGUGUUGUACCAGAGAAAGAAAAGUGAAUGUGCUGAUCUGAAUACAAGAAUAUCUGAAUACGAGACAAGAGUGAUUGGUGUGUCUGCGAUUGGUGUAGGCGAGAACAAUUUUUUUCACGGUAGUGCCACUGGGCUAUGGCCAAUCUGAACUUUGAACAACCGCCACGCAGUAUUGCGAACGCAAGUCUCACUUCACGUACAGCUGGUGGUGGUGGUGGGGGGGGUUUGAGCAGCGCGGCCCUCACGGGUCAUGUCACUCCUACCUCGGGUAUGUUCUCAGGCUCGUCUGCAAGCACCUCUAGUACAGUCAACUCGGCGAUAGUCGCCACUAACAUUUAUCCUGGAGCAUCAGUCUCCAGUGGUGGACAGAACAGUCAUCAUCAGCAGCAGCAACAACUCUCUCCUAUGGGCAGUAGAGGACUAUUUGGACAGAGAGCUUUUACAGAUAGACGUACAAUGCCUGCUCUUGGAGCUUCAAAUCCAAUGGGUAGUAUGGGCAGUUUCGGAAUACCUCCAAGUCGCAAUUACGGAUCUCAAGGUGCGGUUAAUAAUUUCCACUCUGUUUUUGGGAGUGGAGGCGGUGGAGAUACGAGUACUCCACCUUUGCUAGAUCUCUCGGAGUUUCCCUCUUUAACGAAUAGAGGUCAAGGUGAUUCUAUGCCGCAACCUAGUCCUAUGCCAGGGAAACAGCCUUAUGUUGGAAUGGUGAAGCAACCAACAUCUGAGUCGAGCGAAUUUACUAUGAGUUCAGAGGACUUUCCCGCGUUACCGGGAACGCAAAAUCGAGAAGGCCCAUCACCUGGUGGUAGCAUGUCCGGUGAUAAGAAUAUAUCUGUAGGACUCGGUCCAGAAAUCGGACAGGAUGUGUUGCAAGCCAACAGAGCACCUGGAUCUGAGAAAUCUCAGUCUUCUAAAAGAGGCAUCCAAACAUCGCCUGAUGGCAAGGUGACGAACAUACCUGCGAGUAUGGUAAAGGAUCAAUUCGGCAUGGUUGGGCUUUUGACGUUUAUUAGAGCGGCGGAGACAGAUCCGAACUUGGUGUCGCUAGCGCUGGGUCAAGACCUUACUGCAUUAGGACUGAACUUGAAUUCGCCAGAAAAUCUUUAUCAGAAUUUUGGUGGCCCUUGGGCGGAAACUCCAUGUCGACCGCAAGAUAUAGAUUUUCAUGUACCACCGGAAUAUCUUAUAAAUGCCGCGAUCAGGGAUAAGCUAGCGCCAGUUAAACUAAAUCGAUAUAAAGAUGAUCUACUGUUUUAUAUGUUUUAUACAAAUGUUGGGGAUGUAUUGCAAUUAGCUGCUGCAGCGGAAUUGUACAGCAGAGAGUGGCGAUAUCAUAUGGAGGAAAAGGUAUGGAUAACGCAGGCGCCAGGUUUGGGGAUUGUAGAAAAGACGUCGACAUACGAACGUGGUACUUAUUAUUAUUUUGAUGCGCAAAACUGGAGAAAGGUAGCUAAGGAAUUCCAUUUGGAUUAUGCAAAACUAGAAAGUAGACCUCAUCUUCCUUCGAACUUUCACCAAACUCAGCCUUGACUACAGGAUUCUGCCAAUUAUUCUUACAUCAUUCGGACAACUGUUCUUCUUAAAAUUUAAAAGAACGUAAAGAAUAACUGAAGUUUAUAAAAGCUGAAGAAAUUUUCACAAGGAUUAGAACAGCCUGCGACCACAUCAUCGGCAGCCUGCCAUAAGAUAAUGCCAUAAAAUAACAUACUUGAAGAACUAGGAAGUACACCUUUAGAUAAUCCUUUUGAUAUGAAUUGCUCUGUCAAUUCUCUAUACAUAUAAUGGUUCGCUGAGCUAAAACAGGGAUGAACUUUGGUGAAUUUUUUAUCAAUAGCAUACAUCAGCUUACAAGAAAGAGAAUUUUGGUGUAACAGCCAACAAUUUUUUAAUAAUGUAUUAAUAAAAUUUCUUACUGUUUCUCUUUAAAAUUCGAAUAAUAAAUAUGAUAAUAAUGAUAUGAUAAUCUCAUCAAAUUGCUUGUUCUUUAUUAAAUCUUUUGUAAAGGUUUUCUCGGAACAAGUUAGAUUGUAAUAGAUACUUUCUCACACAAAAAAUAAAUUGUUCACUUCAUCCUAUAACUUUUUUAGUAAAAUUAUGUUAUUUGAUACCUUCAAGGUCCACAUAUUCUGUUCGGCACACUGUAAAUUCCAAGCUGUGAGGUUGAUCUCUCUUUUACAUCUUUCUUUCCUUACUCGUCUACUCUUCUACUUUACGCUCAAAUAGUGUUUCUGCCUCUCUUGCUUUUAAUAUAACUAAAAAUAAAACAUAACACAAAGUAUUCAUCUUAUCUCAGAAUACUUACUCCA